rnacentral:rRNA from 1 species
GUGCCUGCUCUUUUGGGUGGGUGCGGAUGAGUGGCGAACGGGUGAGUAACACGUGAGUAACCUGCCCCCUUCUUCUGGAUAACCGCAUGAAAGUGUGGCUAAUACGGGAUAUUCUGGGUCUGUCGCAUGGCGGGUCCGGGAAAGAUGAUGCCUUUUGGUGUUUUUGGUGGGGGAUGGGCUCGCGGCCUAUCAGCUUGUUGGUGGGGUGAUGGCCUACCAAGGCGGUGACGGGUAGCCGGCCUGAGAGGGUGGACGGUCACACUGGGACUGAGACACGGCCCAGACUCCUACGGGAGGCAGCAGUGGGGAAUAUUGCACAAUGGGCGCAAGCCUGAUGCAGCGACGCCGCGUGAGGGAUGGAGGCCUUCGGGUUGUGAACCUCUUUCGCCAGUGAAGCAGGCCUGCUCCUCGUGGGUGGGUUGACGGUAGCUGGAUAAGAAGCGCCGGCUAACUACGUGCCAGCAGCCGCGGUAAUACGUAGGGCGCGAGCGUUGUCCGGAAUUAUUGGGCGUAAAGAGCUCGUAGGCGGCUGGUCGCGUCUGUCGUGAAAUCCUCUGGCUUAACUGGGGGCUUGCGGUGGGUACGGGCCGGCUUGAGUGCGGUAGGGGAGACUGGAACUCCUGGUGUAGCGGUGGAAUGCGCAGAUAUCAGAAGAACACCGGUGGCGAAAGCGGGUCUCUGGGCCGUUACUGACGCUGAGGAGCGAAAGCGUGGGGAGCGAACAGGAUUAGAUACCCUGGUAGUCCACGCCGUAAACGUUGGGCACUAGGUGUGGGGGGCCUUUUCCGGGUCUUCCGCGCCGUAGCU